rnacentral:lncRNA from 1 species
CAGAUAACAGACAGACAGGCUCAGAGACAGACAACCUGGGAUGGCUUGCCAGUGUGCCUGUCUGACCCUCAGGCCCUCACACCACACCACCCUGCUUGGUUCUGCUUCCAAGAAAAAUCUGCCCAGGUCCAAAAGAAACCACAAUGGGGAUGAAGUAGGCCUGGCCAUUACCUGUCUGGUGAAUUACAGACACCCUAUGACCCUCGCCCUCUGAGAGAGACAAGGCUUUGUUUUCAUAAAUGAGAGACUCAUUCCCACAGUUUGAGAUGCACCCCCUGCCCCAUGCCUGGGCUUUUCCUGUGUGCAGGACUCUCCAGUUGCCCACACCAGGGGAGGACACGCUACGGUCAUGCCACUUUUACCUGGGCACAGAGGCUCAGGCAGGUGGAAUGGCUUGUCCAGGGUGACCCAGAACCUAAACCCAGGGCAAGCAUCCGGCAGGUCUCUGGCGAUCUUGAGUAGGGCUCUGUAUCCUUUUUUUGCUAUGCUGUGGGGACCUGGCCUAUGACUAUGGGGUGGCAGCACGGGGCACAGGGCGAGAGACUGAAAUCAAAGACCCAAAUAACCAACUUUGAUGGGUCCCAGGGCAAAGCACCUUCCCCAAAGAAGGAAUACAGGAGAGAGGAGCGGCAGGGCAGCCAGAAUCAUCGUCUGUGGCCACGGGUCUGGUUUGGUAAUGGUGAUGGUGGUGAUGGUGAUGGUGAUGGUGGUAUGUAUAACAUUCUAGUGCAGCCUCAGAGUCAAUGAGAAGACAGACUCUGCACUUGGCGUGCAUUCACCCCCAAGUGUAUGGAAGCCAUCUUGAAGCAGCUUCUCAAUUCUCCUGCCAUGUCUCUCUGUUCAGGAUGUUCCUGCCACUGAACCCGAGCCUGGCAUCCAGCAAGCGCUAGCCAAGAGCUUAGCAGUGACCACUUGUCUACUCAUCGGGGGACGGCCAUCAGCCUGGAGGUGAACCAGGGAGAGUCUUGACUAUAGGCACGGCCCCAGCAUCAGUGGGAUCUUGGGGGAGACUUUGACCAUCAGCAGAGGAGGUUUGGG